rnacentral:lncRNA from 1 species
GUACCUAAGUACCUUUCAGGAGGGCAAAAAAUCCUAGUCGAUCUAUGAGGUGGAAGAGGUUGUGUUAAGACUGGUUCUGAUUGAUUAGGUUCCUCAGGUUCUUUAGCUCGUUGCUCUUGGGAGACAAUCUCCUUGAGCUUAAUUAUUCUUCUGAUGCCACCAUCUUGAAUAAACUAUUUUUUAAGAAAAAUAGCAUUUCAACUCACAAUCACAUUGUGAUCUUCCGAAAUAUAAAAAUAGUAUCCUAAUGACUCUUUAGGAU